rnacentral:lncRNA from 10 species
GAAAAAAUGGUUGGUUCAUUUCACAUGAAAGUAAUGGACCCUGGCUUUGGUCUAGUAUUAAUAAUGUAGAUGACAGUGUGAGGCAACACUGGGUCUGGGGGUUAUUCCAUUGGCAAAUAUGUAUGAAAAACACAGGAACUACUCUUCACAUUUCCAAACCCUCCCGGUCUUUGAAUAGUUGUUGCUGUUCAAAGUGUAGGAGUAUAUGGAAGAGCAACAUGGAUAUCACCUGGGAGCUCAUUAGAAAUGCAGAACUUAGGCCCCAGACCUGCUGAAGCAGGAUCUGCAUGGUAACAAGAUCCCAGGCCAUUCACAAUCACAAGAAAGUCCCACAGGUGACCAUCUGCAGAGACUGUCUCUAAUAAUUUUGGCCCGCA